GUGGCAGGCACCUGUGCACAGAUGGCAGCACCAGUGUAGCACCAUUCACUGAUUGCGACAAUUAUUACAAAAUACGAUUAUCAGAUUAGCAUUAAAAACGUCUAUUUAUCCUUUACAUUUAAAAAUAAAUCAGUUAUUGACGUUUUUAACAAUAGGUAUAAUCAUGCAGCAUUAUUUGUGAGUGGAAAAUUAUUGGGUCAAACAAGCAAAUACUAAUAGCUGUUAAGUACGAUAAUCCCGUGACGCUGCCGCUGCCCCGUCCCCUCCCGCCACUGUGUUCACAACAAGCGCCGCCGUUGAACACCGUGACCCCGGGCCGCCCCUUCACGCAUGAUGCAGCGUGUCGGGUCAGCGCGGGGCGGGGCGAGGCGUGGCAGGGCGGCUGACGGACUGUAUACGCGGGAGGCAGAUGGCUACGGGGAGAAUGUAAACCCUUUAAUGGAACAACCAAAAUAAGGGAGUUAAAAAUCCGGAGUCCCUGAGGCUGCAGGUGUGACGGGAGGCCGCCCCGAACACAAUGGCUCGUCAUAUACGGAACACCUCGCCCCGAUAUGGUCCAGGUCCACUCACGGGUUAUAAAUGGUCGGACUUAAUGGCCAUUCGUCUCGUCGUCUCUCCUCUGGUUGGCUCUUCACUUUCUUUCUCUUCGCGGUGAGGCAGUCACUUCCAUAUCCCUCGCCGGCUUUUGUUAAUAUUGCUGAUGGUUUCCCAUUAUAAGUUUCUUGUCCUGGGUUUCUAUACAUUUUUCCUCACUGCCAAUUUUUCUUAGUGUAACAACGAAUACUAUUUUGUACUCGAGACCUACUUAACUAUUGCUAGAUACACUUAAAUGAAAGUAAUUUUAUUUUCCUCUUUUAAAACAUAAUAAAUCUAACGUGACCAAUCUUUUGAUACCACUCCUGUCUUUUGUUUUUGUCUGUUUCUGUUUCCGAAUCUCCUUCUGUCUUUCCGUUUCUGUUCCUGCAUGUCUUGUUCCUGUCUUUCUUUCUUAGUAUUCUGUUUGUCAUCACUUAUAUUUUUUAUGUGCUGUUAUCUGUUUCCGGCUCUCCUCCUGUCUUCUGUUACUGUUCCUGUCAUCUGUUUACGUGAGGGGAGUAUCAAAACACUUUUCCAACCUAUUGUAAUAUGUCCAGUCCUUCUGAACUACUACUGUUCGUGGGAGCACCGAUUUGCAGCACCUUUGUUUGUGUUAUUUUUACUAUUAAUCUGCCUCGUUUGAUGUAAGACAAUGGAUACUAUUACGAAGGUUUUGUCAGUUGGUUGUUAUUGGUGUCCCUGGAGUGGUGAGGGUCGCGGGGUGUGGUGAAGAAGGCCAGGCAGAAGGGGAGGGGCGGCGAGGCGAGGCAAGUGUUUGUACCGUUACACUCCAAGCGGCUCAGACCCUGCUCAGACAGACAGGCAGGCUUCGCGGGUCGUCUGGCAAAUGACGCGAAAUAUUUUGUUGCAUUCUGGUUUCGUUACGGUUUUGCUUUGUUUAUUUUUAUUGAUCUUUCACAUUGUCAUUAUUUAUUUAUUUAUUAAUUUGUAUAUGUAAUUAAUUUUAUUUAUUUAUACUUUUUACAUUGUCACUUUUUACACUUCGUUGUUCUUUCAUGUGUUGCUAAUUUUUUGUUCAUUUAUAAAUUAUUUACUUAGGUCAUCUGUUCAUUAUUAUUUGUGGGUGCUCGCAUGAUAUGAUUUUGAUAAGUGAAUUAUUGACUGACAUAAAAGAUUGAACAAAUGAAUGAAUGAGUGAAUGAAUGAUGAAUGAACAAAUGAAUGAAUGACAAUUGCUGCAACAACCAUUACUGUGACUAGAAUAAUAAUUUUGAUGAUACUGAAGAGGAAGAGUUAGAGGAUGAGAAG